rnacentral:rRNA from 2 species
CCAACAGCGGUUUGCCUAUACAUGCAGUCGAACGCGUUGGCCCAAUUGAUUGAUGGUGCUUGCACCUGAUUGAUUUUGGUCGCCAACGAGUGGCGGACGGGUGAGUAACACGUAGGUAACCUGCCCAGAAGCGGGGGACAACAUUUGGAAACAGAUGCUAAUACCGCAUAACAACGUUGUUCGCAUGAACAACGCUUAAAAGAUGGCUUCUCGCUAUCACUUCUGGAUGGACCUGCGGUGCAUUAGCUUGUUGGUGGGGUAAUGGCCUACCAAGGCGAUGAUGCAUAGCCGAGUUGAGAGACUGAUCGGCCACAAUGGGACUGAGACACGGCCCAUACUCCUACGGGAGGCAGCAGUAGGGAAUCUUCCACAAUGGGCGCAAGCCUGAUGGAGCAACACCGCGUGAGUGAAGAAGGGUUUCGGCUCGUAAAGCUCUGUUGUUAAAGAAGAACACGUAUGAGAGUAACUGUUCAUACGUUGACGGUAUUUAACCAGAAAGUCACGGCUAACUACGUGCCAGCAGCCGCGGUAAUACGUAGGUGGCAAGCGUUAUCCGGAUUUAUUGGGCGUAAAGAGAGUGCAGGCGGUUUUCUAAGUCUGAUGUGAAAGCCUUCGGCUUAACCGGAGAAGUGCAUCGGAAACUGGAUAACUUGAGUGCAGAAGAGGGUAGUGGAACUCCAUGUGUAGCGGUGGAAUGCGUAGAUAUAUGGAAGAACACCAGUGGCGAAGGCGGCUACCUGGUCUGCAACUGACGCUGAGACUCGAAAGCAUGGGUAGCGAACAGGAUUAGAUACCCUGGUAGUCCAUGCCGUAAACGAUGAGUGCUAGGUGUUGGAGGGUUUCCGCCCUUCAGUGCCGGAGCUAACGCAUUAAGCACUCCGCCUGGGGAGUACGACCGCAAGGUUGAAACUCAAGGAAUUGACGGGGGCCCGCACAAGCGGUGGAGCAUGUGGUUUAAUUCGAAGCUACGCGAAGAACCUUACCAGGUCUUGACAUCUUGCGCCAACCCUAGGAGAUAGGGCGUUUCCUUCGGAACGCAAUGACAGGUGGUGCAUGUCGUCGUCAGCUCGUGUCGUGAGAUUGUUGGGUUAAGUCCCGGCAACGAGCGCAACCUUGGUUUACUAGUUUG